GCUUUUUUUUUUUUUAAAAGGAGGAGAUUUAGAGAACUUCUAGUUUUAAAGAAUUUUCUAAUUUAUUUAAAUGGCAAUUAUUUAGUAUUGGAAUGAAAUAAGCCGAAUAAAAUGGAAUUGAAGGAUUUUUAUGGUCGACCCAAUUAUUCUGCGAUCAAGGCAUAGUUGAUUGAUUUUUCAGGGAUCGAUGUGCUUUUCUUGUAGAUUCUCCACGAACUUGGUAAGUCAGAAUAAGUGCCUGAUAUUGCAUCCUUAUACUGCUUCUGGUGUCUGACGUCUCUUGUCAAAAUUAAAAGAAAGGAAGGAAAAAGAAAGAAGAGUUCAGAAGUAGAACUAAGGUUUUUUAACAUCAUUUCUUUGACAGUAUGAAAAAGAAAGUUAAAGAGUAUUUUAUCUGGUCUUGAGAUGUCUCUGUUAAACCAGUACUUCUUCUACACUCUAUAAUUGAAACCAGUACUCUCUACACUUUCCAAUUGAAACCAGUACUUUCUAGACUCUUUAAUUGAUCUUAACGGUAUUUUCUUCCAGGGUAUACUCACAAAUGAAACGAAGUGCUUGCGUUGUGAGACUGUAACUGCACGAGAUGAGACAUUUCUUGAUUUGAGCCUCGACAUUGAACAGAACAGUUCAAUAACUAGCUGCCUGAAGAACUUUAGUUCCACAGAGACUUUGAAUGCAGAGGAUAAAUUCUUCUGUGACAAGUGUUGCAGGUAUAAUGUGUUUUUUGCUUUCUUGUUGGAUAAUUACAAAGAACACUCCUUUAAGGCAUAUGCCUCUUUGACGUAGCUGCAGCAAACUAACAUGAUUCGUCUCUUUGCUGUUUUCUCUCUAGCAAAUUAACUAAUUCACCAUUUUUUGAGAACUUAGCUUGCAGGAAGCUCAGAAGAGGAUGAAGAUUAAAAAGCCCCCUCACAUCCUAGUUAUCCAUUUGAAGCGAUUUAAGUACAUUGAACAGCUUGGUCGGUAUAAGAAGCUCUCAUACCGCGUUGUCUUCCCACUUGAGCUGAAGCUGAGCAAUACAGUUGAGGAUGCAGACGCUGAGUAUUCCUUAUUCGCUGUGGUAGUCCAUGUUGGGAGUGGACCAAACCACGGACACUACGUCAGCCUUGUGAAGAGUCACAACCACUGGUUGUUCUUUGAUGAUGAGAAUGUUGAGAUGAUUGAUGAGUCAGCUGUUCAAACAUUUUUUGGGUCAGCUCAAGAGUAUUCCAGCAAUACAGACCACGGGUACAUCUUAUUUUACGAGAGAGUCUCCAAUGGAAGCACUAGUUAGUAGCUUAAUGAGUUUAGUUUAUUUUGUUUCCAAUUUUGAACUCAAUUUCUACCUCUAGUGAUCAAUUUUAUCAUUUGCUACAACAUUCCUUUGUAGUUUCUUCAGAAAUUUUCUAGUGAGUUGACAUGAAAUGUGAAGAAUACAUAUCUAGGUUGUUGCCUUGUACAGUGGAUGGUAAAAGCUAUACCAUCUAUUUUUCCAACAAUAAAAGGGGAAAAAAGAUAUGUAGUGUAUGUGAUGCUUGAGUUUAGUAGGAUUUAUUCUUCAGUUUAUGGAGUGCUAAUCUACUUUUGUGAUCCAUUCUGAUUUAGAAUAUUGACCUUUUCUUUCUUAUGCACAAUAUGUUGAAGUCAAAAAAGCUUACAGUUUGCCGUUUUCAACUUUAUGUCAAAAGAUGAAACUGUAAACAACCUUUUCUCAAACUCCGCAUAUAGCAAAGGCUUAGUGCAUCGGACUAUUUUUAUCAAAAGAUUUAGGUUCCCCUUAUGGUGGCAUAAACUUUUUUUCCAAAUUUACGACACUACAUUUCUCCAGGUCAGAACUCAAAAUGAAGUUCAUAGGAUUUCUUGGUCCUAAAAAUUGCAGUCUGCAACAAGUACUAGUCUCGACACAAACAAGAAGGGUGGAGGAAACCUAUACAAGAUCAACAGAUAUUGCAUUUACUUUGCAUGCAAGUUAAGAAUAUUUUCAAACGUAGAAGCACUGGUUGAAAUAUGAAACCAUUCCUCAUAUUUCCUUGAAAUAAGUUUAAUCUAUUUUUUAAAUAGUAAAACAUUACUAUGUUUUUUUCUUAGACCUAUCGAUUGAGGAGUGCUUGUUAUCAUAUAUGUGGUGCCUUAGUAGCCCACACUUCGAAUUGAAGCUCCCCUAUAAUUCAGGUUGGAUGCCUGGAUCCUCAGCCCGCUGGGACUUAGGAUUCGAAGACCAAGUCAGAGAUUACGAGCAACUCUCAAGGAGGACGUUGAGACUCUGCCAACCAGCAUGACUACAUGCUUAACAAAAUUUCAAAAUCUCUAUUCUAAAACAAUAAAUCGCUAUUUAAAAGAAUCAUGCAGCAGAACCAGUCACAAAUUUGUAUACCUAAGCCAAAAAAAAUCUACUACACCAUUUCCUUCACAAAAAACACGCCUUCACAUGUACGUUACAGCUCUCUAAGAUAUGCAAAAUAUGUUGAAUAAGCCCACAAUUUCUUACAAUUGAUAUUGAUUUUCUUUGAUGCCGUCUAGCCAGAUUUUCUAUAUUGCAUACACAGGACAGACUCUAUUGCUGCCAACCAUAUUGCUGGUUACGGUUUCCACUCAUCUGGUUAGAACCUCUCCCUGCACCAGAACCUCCAUAUUGACCACUUUGGGAGUAAUUAGGAGGACCACCAUAUCCACCACUCGGUCCCCGGGGACCACUGGGAGCCAACCCACUGCCAGGAAAAGGUGGGGCUCGUCCCUGAGGUGGAUAUGCCCCACUACUAUAACCUCCACCCUGUGCCCCACGAUCUUGAUAAUAUCCCCCGCCAGGGUUUCCACCUGGAGGAUAUCGAUUUGAUCCUCCAGUACCACGAGGCUUUCCAAACUGAUGAUGACCAGCCCCAGCAGAUGUUGCAGGCUGGGAAUUGCUCAUUUGAUGAGUAGAUCCACCCCAGUGCUGGGAAUGACCAGGCUGUUGGAUAGGAGGGAGGCGCGAAUGUUGCUGUGGGUGCUGCAGCUUGUGUCUUUUGGCCAUUUCUUCAUUCUGUCUCUGCUGUUGCCUCUUUUUCUUAGUCUGGAACUCAUGUGAUGAUUCGUAUUUAGGUAGGCUGUUCAAUACAGUGAGAAACAGGUUGUUAGGUUAAGAGAUAUAUAUGCAUACAUAUCAUAUUAAUCUCAGGAUAUGCUUUCAUUGAUGCUUAUAAAUCUAUAAAAAUCUCAAAUUAGUUGGAACAGGUGGUUAACUGUAAGCACAUUAGCCAAGAAGUUCCAGAUCCAUCGCAGGGAAUACAAUAAGCACAAACAGCACUGAGAAACGUUGAUGUAAAUAAGGUGCACACCUUCUAGGAUCACAAGGUAAGGGGUCGGUCCAGAAAUAUUCACCAUCUAGAGCAUCCUUUGCACAUAUUCUCUGCAAAAAAAGGUGUCAAUUAAAACCAGAAUUAGUAAAGAAGCAGAAACAUGCUUUACAAGUUGCAACCAAGCUUUAUGCAGUCAAACAGCUUAUUAUAAAACUUAGGGGUCGUUUGGUAGAGUGUAUCAGCAAAAAUAAUGCAUGCAUUAGCUUUGUGAAUUAGUAGUCCCUUGUUUGGUAUACUUUUUCAUGCUAUGUAUAACUAAACACUCUAUUGUGUAUUGAGGAGUGUAUUACUAAUACCAUGGAUUUCUAAGAAUUAGUAAUUGCAAAGAUAUUUAAUACAUGCAUUAGCAUGGUUAAAGACUCAACUACCCCUCAAAAGCACUUUUACAUCUUUUCUAUCAUAAUUGUGAAGGAUAUUUUUGUAAAUAAAUAUUUUUAUACAAUACAUACUAUUUUUAAUACACCAAAUCAAACAAUGCAUAAGAAAUAAUUUAUGCAUAACUACUGCAAAUAUAACUAAUACAACCAUUACUAAUGCAACCAUUGCUAACAGUCUAAUGUGCAUUAUUUUUAUACUCUCUACCAAACGACCCCUUAAAGUAGAGUUCAAAUGCCUUUGUAAGAAACACGAGAUAAUAAAAUUGUCAAAAAUCUGUAGUCCUUUUGAGUAAAAAUAUAGAUAAAUAAAACUAAUAGAUCUCCAAUCAGGUUUGCUCAGGAAAAAGCAUUAUCUAAAUUUUGAUGGCCUUAUUGGCGCAUACCACACUGGGUCUUCAACCUAAACUUUUUUCUUACUGUAGCAUAGGCUUUCGUCCCUUCGCCUAUAGAUGGCGGCUUGGCUUCGCUAUCGCUCAACCUAAAUCCAAAAUAGUUGGUGACCCUAUGAAUCUUUUGAUCCCGUUUUGUUCUAUUCUAAGUAUGCAUUGGUCAUGACGGAGAUGUAGGUUUUCCAGAUACCUUCCCUCAAUGUUAUCUCAUCCUUUUUUUAUCAUAUCUUAAUCGUCAUAUUGGUGCAUCUAUGGAGAUAAGUUUGUGUAGGACAUGGCCAAACCAUAUCAAGCAACCUUUCUUUUUAUCUUAAUGUGUGCCACAUGCACCACCUGUUGAAUAGGACACCCAUUUUAACAUCUGCUUUUUUAUGAUAUUUUAUCUAGUGAACUCAGUGUUUUGGACGGCGAGAGGCGACAAAAGGCGACAAGGGCCUGCCUCGCCACGCGGUGAGGCGAGCGGCGAGGCGCUCGCCUUUUUGAAUUGAGGCGCCAAUUAAGACAAAGAAUGUAAAAUAUUUAAUUGCAUAUAUAAAUAUCCAAAAUCUCAAUAACAAUAACAUUCAUUAGCAAUGUCCCUCUUUUUGUUAGCAUCUCACGUCAUUGAAUUCACUAUUUAUGGGCAAAUAAAUACUAUAUUAAUUAGUAUAAAACUAAAUUAAGUAGGGAAGAAAUAAUUAUAGAAGAAUCAAAUUAUUAUUUUUUUAAAUAUAGGCAGAUUCCAGCCCAGUGAGCAGAGCACUAGUCUACCACAGAAGUACAAAACCAAGCAUAGUCUCAAACUCUAAAUACUGAAAAACAGAGUAAUUCCACCCAAAAAAAAUAAAUAGAGUAGUUCCACCAAAAAAAAAAAAUAGAGUAGAGACUAGAUAGUAGAGAAGAAGAAGAAAAGAAGAGAAGAAAAGAAGAGAAGAACUAGAAGAGAAGAACUAGAGAUAAGAUUUCGUACCUGAGAAGGAGCAGCAGUUGCGAUUACAAUUCGCGAAGAAGAAGUCUCCACGAAGGAGCAGCAAUCGCGAAAUAGGAGGAGAAGAGGAGGAGCGUCUUGCGAAGGUCAAGUUGGCAAAAAUACCCAAAAAAAAACCCUAAUUUUGGCUUUUAUUUAUUAAGUCCGACCUUAAAAAAAAUUAAAAAAUAAAAAGGCGACGCCUAUUGCAUCGCCACACCACGUCAUCUUACGCCUUUCCGUCGCCAUGGCACGCCUUUCUGAAGUCGCCUCGCCUCGCCGGAAAAAGGCGAUGACCCCUCGCCUCGCCUUGUCGCCAAAGGCGAAAGGCGAGCGCCUUUCAUAACACUGAGUGGACUACGUGUUAGAAUCCCAAUAUUCACAAAAACAUAACGUCACUAGUCUCACACUCGUAGUAAAGAACUACUCUUUCACUACAGCUAUCUUCCUAGCACUCAAAACACCAUGUAACGUUAUUCCACUUCAAAAGCUCUCAAUUAGGGGUGUCAAAAUGAACCUAAAUAUAUGCAACCCGCCCAGAAUUUUAUGGGUUGGGCUCAAGGUAAUUUGGAUUGGGUUCAAUCUCAACUCAUUCAAGCAUUAACCCAUUUUAAAUGGAUCCUCAAUUGAGCCCAAUUUAAUCUCCAAUUUCAACCCGUUUUAAGACUCUUUAUUUGCAUUGAUGUAUGUUUCUAUAUAAAAAGUAUGAAUUACUAUCUAUUUUAUAUCUUCUAGGAUUUAUCUAUCCAUUUGUAACUUCUUCUUUUUUAUUUUUUUGAGUUGAAAUUCAAAUUGUGGUUAUAAGAAUUAAAUAAUAUGUAAAAAUUAUUAAGAUUAAGCAGGUCGAAUUGGGCGGAUCAUGACCCAACCCGAUUUUUAGCCCAUUUGAGCCCAAAGUAAACUUGGCGGGAUCAGAACCCAACCCAUUUUAAUAUCUCCAAUUUCAACUCAACCUACCCAUUUGACGCCUCUACUUCCAAUGCAUGUGAUCGAUACUUCCACUAGCUAAGCUAUAUCACACUUGAAUUUGUGCCAUUAGAGAAAUAGUAAACCAUCUAUGAUCUCUUUCUAUAAGCUUAUUUAGAAAAGAUAAUUGUAUUAUAACAGUAGCACUAAGGAAGUGUUGCAAUAUUUAUAGGCGAGCAAAACCCAACAGAAGAAUCCUCUCAAAGAGGUUGAGAGGAUUCUAAGAGGCUAUGUAUUUUGCUUCAUUCACAAAUUCCUCAUCGAGAAACAAAAUACAGGUAAACUUGAAUUGUUGGACCAAAUUAACUUUAUCUUCAAAACAUCAAUUGUUCAUUUCCUUCCAAACAAUCUAUCAUAUGGAUGUCGGGUGAUAUUACACCAUAAUGACCUCUUUCUGCCUCUAACAACCUGUGGUAGUUCUCGGCAAUGUUACUUGGACUCUCCAAUAUUGUUGUCGUACAUGUGCCAGGUUCUCUUAAAUGCACUACUUUUGGAGUAUCGGACAUGCACUCAUCGACAUUUUAGAAGAGUCUGAGCAACAUAGGUUCACAGUAUUCCCUAUUCUAGGCCUAUUAUGUUUUGGUAUGUGUUAUGCCUUUGUUGUCACUCUACAAUGAAUGAAAAGAUGGUUAAUACUUUCUACUUCUUCCCGCAAAUGUGGCACCUACUGCAUAAGAAAUGUCCCUUUUUCAGAAGAUUGUCAAGUCUCAGACAUGCAUUUCGGGUCCAUUAACCAAGAUAUGCAAGGCACUUCGAAUGAGACUAUUGAAUCCAAAUCAGAGACCACGGUCACUGACUCUGCUAAAGGCUUGUAACAAGAGUUUAACAAUGAAGACAUUUGACACUGUUCAGUCUCCCACAUCGGCUAAGGGGUGUCGGAUCCACACCUCGAGUUAGCUUUUGGAGAGUUAGGCCCAUGAUUCAUUUCCUUACACGGAAUCAGAGUCGGACUCAUCCCAAUUCUUUGUUUCGAAACAUCUGUAAUUCCUUUCAUACCCACAAGACUCAACGUAUGCAAGCUCGCACUAUUUUCCUCAAAUUAUUCAAUGGUUUUCUGAUGACGACAGGCCUAGCCAGUCAACAAAUCCUUCACCGUGUAUUGCAUUACAAAAGGCAUAAUGAACAAAUCAAAAACAGGUUCUAAAUCUGUCUAGCAACAGUGCAAUGCAAUAAAAUAUAAUGCAGUUCUCCUCCCUGCUACACAUAACAUUUACUACAUAUCAACAUCCCCCUUCCCUAUAUAGAUUGAAUUGGGUGAGGCACACAUCAUCUGAGACCAACCGUGUAAAGCAGGCAACCUUAUAAGAGGCCUUAGAUUUCCAUUUCUUAAAAGGCUGCCUAACUCUUUAUUUAAUCUCCUUGUGACAAUCAUCAUCCAAAAAAAAAAUCAUCUCCUUAUAACAUGAACCUAAAAAGAAUAUUUCAUUUGUUGCCUCUUCCAUAUGGUACAAUCAGCUUCUGCAUUUAGAGCCACAUGCUCCAAGUCUUUUAGCAAUGGCAUCAUUCAUGGUACUUCCCAAUCAAAGUAGAGUCUUCUAUAGUUUAUGCACCAGCUACCACAAUUCCAACAUAUGACACAACUUCCAUCUUCCUACAUUGGUUGUGAAAUUAUAAUGGUCAUCGUAUAAAAUCGAAAGUGGUGUAUGUCCUCUCCAAACAGAGCCUUGUAUUCCUGCCAUGACUAACCUUAAUCUCUAUACUGGUUCUAAAAGCUGGUGCCUGGUCUUAAGCUGCACAUAUGCUUCCAUACAAGCCAUGGGGUGUCUGAACUAUACCAAUAUACCAAAGACUUUGUUCUCCAGAUUUAGCAACAAUUAUACUUUUUGCAUAAAAUGAUAAAAUCUCCAUAGCCAUUUCAUUAUUAUACUACUGUUAUGUUCUUUCAAGUUUCUCAUUCCAAGUCCUCCCUUUCUUUUAUCCAGCAUCACCACCUCCCACUUCACCACUGAAAAGUCCUCUUUUUUGUUUACAUUACACCAAGUUCCUCCUAACCUUAUCCAAUUUUUUCUUCAUACAGACUGGGUAAGUCGAAAGAGAGUGAGUACACUGCUAAUGAGUAUGAUCCUAGCCCGAGAGAAAUGUACAGCCUUUUCAGGUUGUAAAUCUCUUCUCAGUUUUCAAACCUCUUCGCAAUCUUUUCCAACACUGUUUUUGCCUUGUAUAGCUGGUACCUAAAGAGGCAUGCCCAGGUAAUUUGAGGGAAGCUCUUAACAACCCAAAGUAUCACCCAACCUUAGUAAAUCAUGCACUUCAUUAACCCGCAUGCCCUAAUUAUGGAAGGGUAUGCCAACACUAUUAAUUGCACAGCUUAAAACACCAACUCACCAUUCAUUCAUUUCAAUCUUAUAGAUGAUCAACCUGCCCAUUUCAUUUUCCAAAAUUUUUUACUCUUAGAGGUCUUGGCGUAUAUCAAAUUAGGAAAAAAAUAAUAGCAAAUGUGUACUCCCUCCCCGUCCCAAUCUAUGUGGCACCCUUUAACUUGACACAAACUUCAAGACAAAAAGGAGAACUUCUGAAAUUUGUGGUCUAAAACAAACCUUAGACAUUCAUGUGGCUAUAAAUCAUUUCAUUAAGGGUUAAGAGAGAAAUUUGAAAGUUAAGUUGUCUCUAAUUAUAGAAAGGUGACAUUCUUUUUGGGACAAACUAAAAAGGAAAGGGUACCACAUAAAUUGGGACGUUCAUACAUUUUGUCCGAUCAAAAUGCAUCACAUCAUAUGGGUGGGAAUAAGAACGUUGGUUAAAGUAAGGCGACUGUUUUACUAUUAUGUUCUACUCUAAUCAUUACGGAAACUAACAAACAUACGACCAAUGUCCCUCUACAAAUUCUGAUAACACCAGACAAUGGUAAAUCCAUUGAAAAUACAAAUUGCAGCAGUAAUAAACAAUCUACAUACUAAGAAUAGUCACACACUAAUGAACCAAGUGAGUGCCUUUGGACAGAAAGGAACUCCUAAGGAGAGUACAUAUUGCCUUCAUAAAUAAAUUCAGAUGCCAGUAAAACCUAUAUUCUUGAGGCAAAAGAGAGUUUGAUCCUUGUCUUCUUUUUGUACUCAAACGACUUCUGAUUAUGGAACAAAGGAAAACUUUGCACUUCGAGAUUUAGUUACUAAAACCACAUUAAGGGGAAUACCUGAGAUGGGUCAAGAUUCAGCAUUUUGUCUAAUAAAUCCAAAGCAUGGCGAUCAAAACUGCACAAUGAAUAAAAAUCAAGUAUGUUAGCCAUUGUACAAAACAAGUAGUUCAAACUACUCAUAUUUCAAAUGGAGAACCCUUAACUGCCUAAAGACCUCUCUAACUCGUCUUUUCAUUGGCCUUGCUGGCUUGAACUUGCUGUACCAAGGAAUCUUUGAUACACCAGGCCAGUUAAUCUCAUCAGGGGUUCCACAAAGCUCAAAUAUUUUGUUCAAUUGUUCAGGCUGUAAUCAGAAAAGAUUAAGAGAGAUAAAGCCAACUGAAAUCAUAAAAUUGUACUAAAAAUAGAGCAUAAAGAUGAAGCAGAAGUAAAAACACAGAAAAAAGUAGUAGAGAGAGCUCACAUCAAAAGAAACACACUAAGAGCAUGUUUGACUAAGCUCUUGUAAAAUUUUGCUUGUCAUCAUAAAAUGGAGAUUAUUAGUCACGAACCUAGCUAACAAGAUCAAAUAAAAGAAACUAAGAAAAUCUUUCCUCUUCAGAUUUUAUUCAAUCAAUUGUUAGAUCAGGUUCGAAUAAGUUGUUUUCUAAUCCAAAAGCUUCAUUGUUAUCAGCAUAUCAGACAGAGAAAUGGUAUAGCAAACUAUCUAACAUAAGUAUAAGAUACUCUCAAGAAAAGAAGCAAUAGCACAUUAGCAGAGAUUCCUUAGGACACUAGCAGCAGGUAUACUUGUAAAGCGAAGCUACUGACACCUACAGCACCUAGAGAAGCAAGAAAAAAGUUUAAAAGGAUAUUACCUCAUUUUUCCCAGGUAAGAUUGGCUUUCCAAAUAAAAGUUCAGCAAAUAUACAACCAACGGACCACAUGUCAACAGCGGGUCCAUACUUUGUGGCUCCAAGCAACAAUUCUGGAGGUCUGUCCAAGAUUAUCGUAUAUUUAGUCUAGAAAGAGCAGAAAAACCUCAGAGUGAAACAAGCAAAGUAAUAAGAAGAAUGCUUUAACAUGCUUUAGAUUUACCUGUACCACAGUGUAAUAACACGAUUUGUCAGAUUAGCAUUAUGAUCACCAGAAAAUGAGCGGGCUAAACCAAAAUCAGCAAGCUUCAGAUUUCCUUCAUUAUCUAUCAGAAGAUUAGAGCCUGCUAACAUAAAAAUGAAAAAAAAACAAAUGUGUCACGAGCUUCCAGGAACACUUGCAAAUAUCAACAUGUUACAUACAGAGAAUUAAGUACAAAGUAACCUUUGAUAUCUCUGUGAAGAACUUGAUUAAUAUGGCAGUAAUGAAGACCAGUAAGCAGUUGCUUCAUGUAGCACUGGAAAAGGAGUGUCGUCAAUAAACGAGCAGCGAAUAGAUAGUCAUCACAAUAAGAAAAGACAUAAUCUUUUCUUCUAGUUAGGCUUACGAUACUUUAAUCUGUGGAAUUGUGAAUCUCAACCCUGGUCGAUCAGCAAGGCCAGUCAAGUCAUGAUCCAUGUAUUCAAAAACCAUGUAGAUGUUUCCCUUGUACUUGUUACUAUCUAUUCCUGUAAGAAAAUCGAAAUUCAUGGAUGUUAAUUUCUGCAAACAUUGGGAAAGGAACUUCACUACCAAUAAGAAAAUUUUCUUAGCUGGAAUACCUAGCUUCUCUGGUUCAUCCUCUUCAGGACCUAGAUGAGAAAUUCAUAUCAGAACUGACAAUAAAAGUUCAAACUUUCCCAAAGUUCCAAAAUUUAUAGCAUCUAAGAAUUAAGAAACAAAGUACCUUGAGAGGUUACUAUCUCUAACAGCUUAAUGACAUUUUCAUGCUGCAAUUUCUUUAGAAUUUUAAUCUCACGGAUGGCUGUUAUAGGGAACUGCAGAAAUAAGUAUAAAGUACCAGGUAAUCAGUUUUAGCCCAGCAAUGCAAUAGUCAAAAUAAGCUCCAAUAUUUAAAUUAAAUGGUAUAAAUACAAAUCUAAAACAGCAUGAAGAUUGGGGAAAAGAACAGUACCCCCUCCUUCUCAUUGUCCAUACGUAUCUUUUUCAAAGCAACAAUCUCCCCAGUUUGUUUAUCUCUGGCCAUGUACACUUGCCUGGAAAAGAGCAUCAGAGCCAAUCAUGCUAAGCAUACAAACAAUGAAGCAAUACUAUUGAAAUAUCAACAAAUGCAAAGUUGGCUGAGUCAUCUCUAAAUUGAAUCAAUGUCAUCUAUAGUCACCAAUUACAAUAGUUGCAAUGUGAAUCCCAAGUGAUAGUGUCAAUUGCAUCCUUAUUGAAUGACUUUGGCCCGUUCUUAAUCAGUCAGUUAGAUUUUUAUCAACAAAAAGUAGCCAAGCACCAAAGCUAGUGCUGGGACAUUACAAAUUAAGAAGCCCCCUAUACAAAAACUAAAAGAAAUUGCUCACCAAUACAAAAAGUACUCCUGCAGUGAGUCGAUAAAAUCUAUCAUGCAAUUUUCAUCAAUGCUAGCAAACCUAAACAUCUGUAUAUUAUUAUCUGAGUUGAGUGAGUUCUGCCCUCAGAACACCUUAAGUUCCUCUCUAUCGACCGUACCCAACAGACACACUCGGAUACUCCUACAUAAUAAGAGAUCUAUGAAGCCUUCCCCCAACUAUCCAAAAAUUGUCUGAUCAACUGUCACACUAUCCAAUGCUGCCCAAGAAUGUUGAUGAACAGGUCCCACAACUGCCUUGCAGGAGCUGGGCCAGGAAAAAUCAACUUAACACUUAUAAAGUUCACCAUAAUUCAACAACUAUGGUUGGUAUGCAAGGAUUGACUCUUGGAUUAUUCCGGGGAAAACCUUCAACUGGGGGUUUCAUAAAAAAAAACAAGGAUACCUCCAACAAUUGUUUUGGGACGCGAGAGGCGACAAAAAGCGACGAGGCUCCCUUCACUGAGGCGAGGAGGGAACAACAACAACAAACCCAGUGUAAUCCCACAAGUGGGUCUGGGAAGGGUAAAAUGAGGCGAGAAGUGAAGCGCCAGUAAAUACAAACUAAUUAAAAUAAUAAAUAUGUAUAUAUAAAUAACUAAAAAUUCAGUAACAUAUCAAACAAAACUAAUUAGGUUAUUAACUAUUAUGCAACUAAAACUGAGAAGAAAAAAGCUGAGUAAAAAAAUGCAGAAACAGUGGACAAACAAAGAAAGAAAGAAGCUGCCAGAAAACAGAGGAGAAAAAAGAAAGAAGAAAGAAGAAGAAAGAAGUAGAAAGAAGAAGAGGAAAAUAGAAAAAGUACAUGAACCCUAGCUUCAACUCACCUCGUCUUGACCGUAAAACAGAGAAAGAAUAAGAGAGAAGCUGUGCAGGGGUAGUCUGGUUUUGACCAAAAGAUCCUAGUUCUCAAGUUGCGAUUAAAAGCUAUGCUUUGACUCGCCGUCUCAUCUCCCCUUUUCAGAUUGCUCCUCGCCCCAGGGGAAAAAAGGUGAUAAUUGUCUGCUUCGCCUCAACAAAUUAAAUUCAUAUAAAUCUAAUGUUGUUCGGUCUUAGACUCUUAAUCUAUUAUUAUUAUCCAUAUUAAAGCCUCAAAGAAUAUUUCUAGGGAUUGAAAUGAUAUGUUUUCUCUUCAAAACAAAAAUAGUGCAAGUUCUUCAGACAAAGACAAUUAUUUUUUCAUUGUUACAAAGUCAACAUUACUUUCCUAAAACCAAAUUCAGACAGGAAAAAGUCAAAAACCAAAACAAAACUAGAACAUUUCAAAACCGAAAUGGCACCAUUACAGAGGGCUGUGUAGAUAAUUGAAGAUGGGAGUACGGUCUCCCCACCCCCCACCCAACAAGUUAUGUCUUCAUGAAGGGUAACAUGGGGAUGUAGCUUCCAAAAAGGAAAGGUGUCAUUCUUUUUGGGACAAACAAAAAAGAAGAGUGAGUUAUGUAAUUGGAAUACUUAUUUCUACUUAUCAUUACUGGUGUAGAGAGAGUAGAUCAUUUCUAUGAAGCGAAGCGAGGGUUCAGAGCUUCAGCUGGCAUGAAAAUAUGGGGAAGAAAGUUAGUGAGACCAAUAGGACAACAAUUGUAUGUCUGUUUUGAGACAAGACAACUAAAGGGGAACCUUUUUUAGUUUUUAAUAUGAUUUUUUUGCUUAUAAUUGUCUGUAUUUAUUUUGGUCUUUUUUCUUUUAAAUUGUGCUUCGCUUCAAUGAAGCGAGCGCUUCGCUUAAAGCGUGAAGCGGGACCUUGUCGCUUUUUACUGCUCUGCACUCCCCUAAACACUGCUCUUACCACCACUCACUUAAAGUGUAACAAGUGGAACUAUCACCACCACAUAUUUAAAAGAGGAUUUCGGUACUUAGCAACAUUUGACCUACAUGUCACAAAACACCUAAACAUAAAACAGGCAGGAGCGAGUAAUAACUGACAAUAUCCUCGAAGCUCUUAUGUGAAAUAUCAUAAACAAUAAAAAGAAUCAAAAAAAAUGUUAUCACAACCAAUAAAAUGGGAAACAACCAAGUAUAAUGGCAAAACAUUUCUAAAGGGCUGACUCCAGCUCAACAAGAAUGUGCACUAAAAGUCUCAUGCCUACUCUACAUUCCAAAGUAUACUCAUACAUCAGAUCCUUCCAGAAUAUAUCAAUGGCCACACAUACAACUCUAUAAACUAUUUAGCAAUGUAUCAAAAGUCUAUUGCUUCCCACAAGAAAUAGAUCAUUCUUGAUUCCGAACCCCAGGAAUAGCCAACUUGUACUGGAAUUACAGGAGGUGAUCAACUAUCACCAGAAUGCAGAUCAAAGUUCUUCAUGUAAACAGCAGCUAAUUUUUCACUAGAGAUGGAAACUUUUCCAGCCUUCGAAUAUUGAGGCUUCCAAAUGCAUUUUCAAAAUUUACAAAGAGCUUUUGGCUGAAAUCUUGGAAUUGAUUUAAUCAGAUAUUAAUAGACUAUAGUUAGAAAAUACCUCUACAUGCACCACCUAUCCGUGCUCCCAGCAUCCCCUUCAUCGGUCCAAUAAAACUAGAACUAAUUACUAACUCUUUGCAUAGUUACAUUGGAAAUAUAAUCCUUGUCAAUAUUACACUAACUGGAAUAUGAGCACCGGCUUGCCUACAACAACAACAUACCCAGUGUUAUCCCACAAGUGGGGUCUGAGGAGGGUAGGGUGUACGCAAACCUUACCCCUACCGCCUACCAGAUUUGCCUAUAGAGCCAACAUAGACAAUCGAUACAAUGGCAGUCUUCUCUUCAUUUCUUUUUAUUACAGGCAAAUUACCAAAUAUCUUCUUCUAUUUGACUCGAUUGUGCAACAACAACAACAUACCCAGUGUAAUCCCACAAGUGGGGUUUGCAGAGGAUAAAGUAUACACACACCUUACCCAUACCUCAUAGUGAUAGAGGCUGUUUUAGACAGACCCCGACACAAGUAAAGCAUCUCAAAGCAGUUAAAUUUGACUUAAUUGUGCAAGCAAAGCAUCUCAAAGCAGUUAAAUUUGACUCAACUGUGCGAGCCAGAGAAACUCCAACAAAAAAGAUCCUUGUUCAAAACCCAAAAUCAUGCCAAUGUAAGAACUGAAUCAACUAAAUUGAUUUUCAUAAUGGUCAGAAUGAUACACAACAACUCAAAAGAACAAAACGCAAUCCUAAAUAAUAUUUUUAAGUCAAAAAUACAAAGGUCUAUCUAUCCCCAAUGGCUUUUUCUCAAUGGCCUCACAGAUUCAGUUUCAAAAGAAAAAAAAAAGGCUUCACAUAGCCUUCCCCAAAACUCAAUAACAUCAGAUCAUGAAGUAAUGGCAUUACAGCAAACUAAGACAAAACUACAAUAAAAUAUCCCCCAACCCCACCCGGGGUCCUACAUCCAAGUUCUUAAUUACCCAGAAAGAGUACAACUGCAAAAUACAAAGAGUAAAAUCAACAACACAAAUGUACCAAAAGCUUCUAAUUUCUUGAUUCAAUGAGGUAAAAAAAGCAACCCAUCAACCUUCAUGUUAUUAAACCAAGGGAACCCAUCCUUAACUAUCCAAAUAAGAGGCAAAAUAGAGGAUAAAAGGAAUUUUACUAUCUGGGGAGGAAAAAAAACUGACCCAUAAGUUCCUUCACCGAUUUGUUCAAGCUUUUCAAAGCAUUCGAUACUUCGAGAACCCCAUAGUGGCGAUUCAUCAAGAUUCAACUGACCAAAAGCAGCCACCGCCAUGUUUGUACCUAUCUCUCUUCCUCUGUGUGAAGAAGAACGAUUGAUGUAGGGUUGUAUAGAGUUGAUAGAGAGAAAGAAAGUUCAAUUCAAAAACCACAAGAGAGGAACGCUGUGGAGGCGGCUUCGGAUUACUUUGUAUGGAGUUGUGGGUUUUUCCACUAAACAAAUGGCCUUGUUUGUGCCUAAUACAACUUACCAAGGGCUUUUUUGCUAAUUCUUAAGUUAUUUCAUAACGUAUUAUACUGUUGUCGUAUUAUAUCAUAUUGUAUUAUUUUGAUCAACAUAAUGUUUGAAGUGAUAAGACUAUUCAAAUUUUAAUAUUCGUGAAGAGAGAAUUGUAAUAAUGUAAAGAAGAUGUAUAUUCUUCGUCGUUACAAAAUGUGAAACAUCAAUAAUUUGAAGGAUAUUCAUCGUUACAUAGUGUCACGCAUUAAUAAUUUGAAGGAUAAACCUACCAGCAAAGUAAGAUACGUGAUAAUAAUAAGUAAAGACAAAAUGAGAAGAAAAAAUAAGAUAAUAAUGUGAUCACACUAACUUAAUCAUUCCACUAAAUCUUUUUUUUAAUCGUUACAUAAUGAUAUGAUACAAUAAAAUUAAGUACUAAUUAGAACAGAUAAUGUAUUUAAACUAACUUAAUAGUAUAACAUAAUGGGUGAUAACCGUUCAAAUGAAGUGUUAGAGUAUUCGCCUAAAUCCAUUAAUAUAAUUUUAUUUGUAAAUUACAUAAAUAUUGAAGUAUUAAAUAAUAUUAGUAUAGUAUUCACGCGAUAGGCGGAAAAUAUAUAUAUAAGAAAAAAAGUAUUAAAAUAUUAUCUUAUUUGCUUAACCACCUUAUUUAUUUACUAUCGGAUUAAUUAUUAGUUCAAAUUAUUUGAUGCAUAACCCAUAAGAAGGCCAUUAAAGAGAGAGAAAUCUAACUAAAAUUAUCAUAAAAUAUUGUGUUAUGUAUGAUAAGAUUUAAAUAUAACUCAACUUACUAUCGUAACAAAAGUGCAUGUAUAAUGAUAUAUAAUGUAUUGAAUCAUAAUUUUAUAUAAACACUUGACGAUAAUACAUAUAUAUAUAUAUACAUACAUAUAUAUUCGAUGAAAAACCUUUAUUCAAUAAAGAAAGGGUAAGCACCGAAAGACAUGAAUGAUCAAAGAGAGGCCUCAAUUGACGCUAAUAAAGCCAAAUUGCAUAAUUUUUGCUUUUUCGCCGCCCACCCUUUUUCAAUACCAUUUUGCUCAUCAACAUUUCUAUUUGUUUUGUCGUUUAAAUCGAAUUUCUUAUUUGGAAUUUCUUUUUCUUUUUCUUUUCUUUUCACUGGAAAUCGACUCAUAUAUCAAUCUACGUGUCUUCCCUCGUAAAGGAAGUAGUUAUGGGAAACUUUAUCCCUAAAGGCAAUGGCUAGGUAGGGAUCUCUUGGAUAAUAAUAUGAUAUAUAUUUCGCUAAGGAGGUAGGGCUCAGGCUUGUCUGCAGUAGGACGUAUUGGGUAUUUUAAGGUAGACCAAAUAUAUAUAUAUAUAUAAAGACCCAACGAUCAAUUAAAUUACGGAGAAGGGCCUAAAAUACCCCUCAAGUAUUUGAAUUGGUACAAAAUUACCCUCCAUCCACAUAUCGGCCCUAAAAUACCCCUGACGUCCACCUUUAGGCUCAAAAAUACCCUUAUGUCUAAUGGAUCAUACUCAUUAGGUGGAUGGAGGGUAAUAUCGUACCAAAUCUCAUAGUUUAAGGGCAUUUUAGGCCUUUUUCCGUUAAAAUAAUUUGAAAUUACUUAAUAUAUAAGCUCACACGAUUGACUUGAUUUUGAUUUUGAUUUUCAUAGUAAAUUUAAAAUUAUAAAAAGGUUAGGGAACUACUCUCUACACUACUCCCUCCCCGGCCCUUCAUUUCAUAUCUCUUCCAUUUUUUUCUAUUUGAAUCUUGUCCACCAUUUUAAUUUUUUUUAAUUUAUGACAAACAAGAGAAAAAAAAAGGAGGAAAAUAACGAUGCAUUCACAGAAAUAAAUAGUUCAAUAAAAGAUGACUUAAUUAGGCAAAUAUGUACAAAUAUUACAUUUUUCUUUUGUGUGUGCCCAAAAUUAAUAAUAAAAAUAAUUAUUUCUCUUAUCCCCACCAUCAUCCCAUCAUGACAAUAAUACUAAUUAAAAGAAUAUAAAUAUGUGAGUUUAUUCCAAGUUUGAGUCCCGGAUAUCCUAAUUAAGAAUAAGAGAUUACAAAAAGGAAUAAAAGAGAAAAUGAACAAGGCAUUUGGAUACUUGAGAGAAAAUUUUAUAGUAAUGAAAAUGAUAAUUUUUUUAGUUGGACAAUCAGUCGGGGUAAGUAUGGAUUUUAGUUGGAUCCCCAUUUAUGAGUUGGGUUAUGUUAUAAUAAAUUGGGGUCGAUUUAAAUAGGCCAAUAGAAAGAUAUCAUGAAAUUAAUUAUUUUUCAAUAUUAUUUUCAAGUGUAUUGGGUCAAAAUAUGAAUCAUAAGUGAUUUUAUAGAAAAAUUGAAUUUUUAAAAAUGUCAUUUUUAUUAUUUAUUUGAGAAUUUAAAUUUGGACCAAUCACAUUAAGCAAUAUAAUAAAUAAAUAUUUAAUAAUUUACUUUAAGGGAGGCGAGAGCUAAUUAAAAAUAAGGGCAAAUAUGAGUCAAAGGAUUAACAUCGAAGGUAGUUUUGAGCCGAAAGGUGAACGUCAGGGGUAUUUUAGGGCCGAUAGGUGGAUGGAGGGUAAUUUUGUACCAAUUCAAAUACUUGAGGGGCAUUUUAGACCCUUUUCCGUUUAAUUUAAGUGUUACUUUUGUCUCUCUUAUCCCUCCAAAGAAAUAAUACAUUAAAUCCUUAAACAUAUGUUUGUUGAAACAAUGAAUUAAGCACAAAUCACAUCUUUAACAAUAUCGUUCUUAUCGCAGUCUUAAUUGUAUAAGAUAGUAUAAUUAAAGAAUAAUUAUAUUUUAAAAAAACUCAAAUAUUACUCUUAUCAAGUAAGUCACCUGAAUAAACUAUUAAACACCUUUUAGGGUAUGUUUGGAAAGCCACCAGGUAAUUGGAACUAGUGUAAUUACUAGGGUAGUAAUUACAAUCCUAGUAAUUACACAACCUAGUAAUUAUAUUGGCAUGUUUGUUUACCAUAUUGUAAUUAUCAAUGCACUGUUUGGUUGCACAAUUGUAAUCAUAAGGUUAUAUUGAAUUUUAAAAAUAAAAAUCAAUUGUCUAAAACUAAAAAAUUAUAUUAGACAAUAAGGGCCUUUAUAAAUGAUAUUAAAUUGAAUAUUUAAGAUAUAUAUUGUCUUUUAAAAAUAUAUUAAUUAAUAAACAUAUGUUCUUAAUUAAUAUUAUAAAAAAUAAUUGGAUUGUAUUUUUCAAUUUAGUAUAUUUUAAUUAAAUUAAUCAUAAAAACUAAAAGCACAAAAUUUCUAUGAACAUCAUGAAAUGCAUGUUUGACAAAAAGAUUAAUAUUAUAAAUAUAAUGUCAUAAAAUUAUAAAAACAUUUGAAAAACAGAUAAUCUAUCAAGUCUAACUAAAAAAUAGCUUGCAAUGUAAAAUAUCCCGUCAAUUCUUCUAAAAUAAAUGAAAUUGAAAAUAUAAGUUCUAAAAUCAGAACAAAAAAUUUAACAUUAUACUCUUAUGUCAAGUUUCAACAUAACAUACAUAAAUAUGAUUUAAAAGAAAAAGAAAAAAUAUGUAUAUAACCUUAUUCAACAAUGAAUUCUACUUUAAUUUAAAAAUUAUAAUACUAGCAAAAUUAUACUAAUGAAAAAUAUAUAUUAAAAAUAGAUAAUACGAAUUUUUUUUGCAUGGAAUCACAUGUAAAGGUUGAUAAUGAGAAGGAAAUGAAAUAUAAAUAAUAUAAAAUAAACAAUAUUUUUUAGAAAACAUUAGAAUAAUAAAAAUAAAAAAGAAUUUACAAUAAUUAAAAUAAUAAAUAAAUUAUAACGAAAAAAUAAAAAAACUAAAAGGAAGAAAUUAAAAAAUAAUCAACUUGGAAUUACCAACAAUUCACAGCAUCUCCCUCUGAAUUUGUAUAUAUUUAUUUUAAUAAUAAAUGUUAAUGUAACACCCCAAAAAUUUCUAACCUAAGAUCCGAACCAUUUUUUAUUGGUGUAUAAGGUCGUAUCGGGUGAUUCUUAAAUUGUUCUUAGGUGUCAAGGCCAAUUAUUUUGUGUGGAAAUGGAUUUAGAUAUGAAUUAAGGUCACUAGAAUUGCCUAGCACAAAGUUGAGUUGAAAGCUUCCUUACCGAUUAAGCUUUGAUAUAAGAUUCUACUUAGGUCAACAUAAUGAAUUAGGUGAUCCGUGACCUAUCAAAUCAAAGGUCUAUGAGUCUUCUUUCCAACGCCACCAAGUAUACCUCAUUUCAAGUUCGGAGUAAAACGUAGUGACCGUUUUACCAGAGAUUGCUGCAUCAUAAUUUUAAGAGUCAGUGACCUACGGACUUGAUCUACGAGUCGUAGAAAGAGGUACGACCCGUACUGGUCACUCAUGAAAAAAAAAUGAAAGUCACUUUUUAGGUCCAAUUCUUAGGGUCGUAGAAACUUCUAUGGGUCAAAGUUUGAGCCCAUAGAAUGAACUUUUUAGCCUUAGAAUAUCAAUAUGAAUUCCACGAAUUUGAUCUACGGUCCAUAGAUCAAACUACGAUCCAUAGAUGGCCCUGUGGAAGGUUUUCGACAACUUUUUAAGUGAGAUUUUUUUUUGUCUUUUCCCACUUUUUCUAAGCCCAAGCCAUGACGUUUCAACUUCAAUUAGGGAAAUAUAUUUCACCAAGUACUCAAUUUUCUUUUAAUUCUAGGCUCUCAACUCCCCAACUCAAAAAGAAAAUCGCAAAAAAGACAAAAGGUAGGGUUUCAAGGCUUCCAAUCAAGUUCUUCUUAAAACUUCUUCAAGAACUUUGUUCUUCCAGGUAUGUAAGGCUUCAAUGAGAGUAUUCAUUUCACUCUCAUGUCUAAAGUAUUUUGAUUAUAUGAUGAAUUAUGUUUAAAUCUAGGGUUCUACUUCAGACUUCUUCAAGAACUUUGUUCCUCCAAGUAUGUAAGGCUUCAAUGAGAGUAUUCCUUUCACUCUCAUGCCUAGAGUAUUUUGAUUAUAUGAUGAAUUAUGUUAAAAUCUAGGGUUCUACCCAAUCUUCUUCAAGCUAUGAUUUUAUGCAAAAUAGAGUUUUUAUGAAAGAUUUCUCAUGCAUAUCAAUGAAUUACUAUGAACUACAUGUUUUAUUAUAUGAUUUUGAUUCUCUAAGCAUGUGUCAAAAUUAUUUAUGAAAGCUACUUUUGAGUAUUUACAUAUUAGACAUGAUUUCAAUUAAAUUGCCUCAUGUUUAAAGUCAUAUGUAUAAAAGUAAAGAUAUGUCUAUAAAAGAUAUACUUAAGCACUGCCUCAAAGCACUACAAUUCAUGAUUAGUAUCACGGUUGGGUAUGUCAUCAAUGUUUAAGCAGUAUGACAUCUAGAUAUGUCAUCAAUGCUGUCACGAUCCAGACCGUCGUGAUUGGCACCCAGACUAAUUCUCCGGUGGGAGAACCACUACUACAACCCAGACUAAGCAACUUAACCAAAAACUAAGACAUUUAAAGAUACAGAAGCAGGUUUAAAUGCUAAGGAAAAGAAAUAUGGAGUUCCAUAAACUCCAAAUCAAAAGUCUAAUAAAAACAAAUGCGGAAUAACACCUAGAAUCUGAAAGUCAAUGUACCAAAACAUCUAAAUUUCAACCAUAAAUCUAAACUGGAAGGGGUACAACCCCAAACUAACAUAGGAAUAACUAGCUAGAAAAUCUAAGUCCGUAAAUGUGGACUUAAACAAAAAGAGAACUCAUGGCAGCCCGGAAGAACUAGCUCACCCUUGAGUUCGAAAUGGUCACUGAUCUUCUAAAUGAGGUAUGUCAAUAGCCACUGGAAGAUGCACUGUACUCAACAAAGAAAGAGCAAGUGCAGUAUCAGUACACAACCACAGUGUACUGGUAGGAUCACGCGGUUAUCCCACUAAGUGCAACAUACAUAAGCCAUUACAACAUAAUAAUAACAUGCAUACACCGAACAUAUACAAUAUCAACAUCACUUAAGAACAACAGAGCAUUUCACAAUUUUCAAGAUAUACAAUUAUGUAAAGUCAAUGGUCUUCUCAUGGAACCCAAACCCAAACUGUUAGUGUACCGGUUCGUGGUACCUAAUCUAAUAUUUAUGUCGGAACGUGGCAACUGAUUCCAUAUUUAUGUCGAAACGUGGCAACCGAUCCAAGUUAGUGUGUCGAAACGCAACACUCAAUCCAUUCAACAAGCCACAAUCACAAGUAUUUUCUCAUAAUCAUACAAUCAAGUCAUGAUUUCAUGGCAAACAAUUAUUCAAUCAUCCUCAUUUAUGAAUAGUGUGAUCAAUAAUGCAACAUUCGCAUACAUACAAAUACUAUAAUGAAGCAAGAACAAACAUACCUCACACAACAUGAAAUCACAACCAUCACCUAACAAGCUUGAAUUCCCUAAGAAACUUGAUUCUUCCCUUUUCCGGAUUCGUUCCACUUGUUCUUGGUCUACAAACAAUUAAUUUAACACGGAAAUCAAUAAACAAUAACUAAUUACCCGAAUUACUAACACGUCUAUCAACCUUAGAUCAUACUCAUGAUCCCCAUACCCAGAUUAGGGAUUUCUCUACCAUUAUUUCCAUAUCAAAACCCUUUCCCAUUGAUAAUUACCCGCUAGAUUAAGUUCUACGAAUUGAAAAACAGAUUCGGGGAGUUAAAAUCUUACUUUUAGUCUCGAAAAUGGUGGAAAACUGUUAAGAAAACCCUUGGGCUCGUUCCUUAGCUCUCAAGUUCAAAAAUUGCAGAAUAAAACGUUUUUGGGGUUUAUUUCCAACUUUAAGUCGCGUCUGCCCUGCCAUGGCGGCACUCACCCCGCUACAGCGUCCCCGCCCUGGCGACAGAAAUCCCGCCUCAGCGGCUUGCCUAGAAACAGUGAGCAAAAUUAAUAAUUUCAAGACCUCAUUUCACAACACACCUUCAACCAACGACACUUAGAAACUAUCCGUUCACGCUAAGAUCAAUUUUGGGAGUUCUACACGCUCGAAUUAAAUUCCGUAAAGUCGUAUGGGUUCCUUAACGUCUUAGCUAUCUACUCAUGUGAUCGAAUUCAUAAUUAGAUCACCCAAUUGCUACCAGAUUUUCCUAGACCUCACAGACUCCGAUUUCGUCCAAUCUUGACUAGGUUGAGAAAUCUCAAGUUACUAUGAAAAAGUUUUUCGGCCCAAAAAUUUUCCCCAUUGGCUUUUCUAUAAUAACGGGAACAGGUCGUUACAAAUAUUUAUGCAGUAUGACUUCCCGAGUCAUCAAUUAUCACAUCAUAAUAUGAUUUCAGAUAUAAUUUUCAUGAUUACAAUCUAAAUACAUGUUAUUUCAACAGUUUUAAGGGACGUAAAUGAUCCCAAAUAUAUUAUUUUUACAUUGAAAAAGAGAGUACUAUUUUUCAGAAAAUAAAUAAAUAAAGAAUUUUCAAACAGAUUUAGUACAGUUCAAUUACCUCUUGAAGAGACCUUUUUCAAGUAAUCAUCUCAACCUAGUGAGUAUUUUACAUGAGCAUACAAUUAUAUGUUUUGGAAGUAGUAUUGAGCACCGAUUUGAGUGAGAGUUCAGAUAACUCAUAACCCCAUAAACCACAUAGGUAGCAUGAGAUUGGAUCGUAAUGACAUUCGGGUGACUCCUCACCACCUCUAAGAAGGCCUAUUAGUUGGAUCCAUGAGUUAAAGUUAUGUCUCAUACCCGACAAGGUGUAGGGCGGCUCUGGCAAUGUUGUAUCAUCACGAGGCUCAUAGUGAUGGUUGUCGGUUAGAGAAACUUCCUAGUAAAGUAAAAUAUAUAUUUAUUUAUAUAUUUUAGUUCAAUAUUUACUAUUGCAUUCUUAAAGUAAGAGGCUAAAUGAUUUCCAACGCAUUUUAUAAUAUACUUCAGUUGAGUUACUUUCAGUUUUUCAGUUCAACUAUUACAUACUCGUACAUUUAAUGUACUGAUGUCAUUCGAUCUGCACCAUUUCAUGAUGCAAAUUCAAGUACUUAGGGUUGUCAACAGGAGUUCCAUUGAGAUCACAUCAUCCGCUCGUCAGCUUUUGGUGAGACCUAUUUGCUUUCUGAGGACUCCAUUUUUAUGAUUUGUUAGUAGUAGCGUUUUGAGGUGUCGUGAGUCUUGUUCCGACACCUAUCUUUAUAUAUAGAGACUUCAUAGAUAGACAGUUUUGGUCAGUCUUGCAGUAUUCAGUUUCAGAUGUUUUAUUUAAAACUUUAUGUUUAAUACUCAAUAUAUUCAAAUAGCUUUGAGAUUUUAUAAACUAUUUUUAAAUGAUUAUUCAGUUCUAAUGCUUGUGUAUGCUUGUGUAUGCUUGAGUUAGUUUUCCGCUUAGUAGUCAUUAAGGACAAGGGUUCGCUUGGGGACCAACAAUGGUUCUCGAGUGCCGGCCACGUCCAGGGUGCAGGCUCGAGGUGUGACAAUUAAUUCAAGUGUAUAACAUUGUUUAGAAGAAGAAAAAAAAUUUAAUCAAAAGUAACAAUAAAAUUAUUUUUUAACCAAGAUAUUGAUGUCAAAGAUAUUUUUGAAAAAAAUUAUUAAUAAACAUCUAAUUUAUUCAACUUUUUGUAGUUUAAACUCAACCCAUGUAAUGUUGUUUUACAAUUUGAAGACUAUAACGGUAAGAAACAUGUAAUAAAAGUGUAGCUAAACUCAAAUAUAUUACACUAAGAUUUUGAUAAUAAAAUUGAAACAACAUUUUAGGUUACCAUUAAGACUACACAUUGAAUUUGAAUAAACACUAAGGAGUCGUUUGGUAGAGUGUAUUAACAAAAAUAAUAUAUGUAUUAACUUAUGUAUUAGUAGUCCUUUGUUUGGUAUACUUUUCCAUGCUAUGUUAGUUCUACACUCUAUUGUGCAUUGAUGAGUGUAUUACAUCAAAUUACCCCUCAAAAACACUUUUACAUCUAUUUCACCAUAUUUGUGGAGGAUAUUUUUGUAAAUAAUUUUUUUAUAUAAUGCAUACUAUUUUUAAUAUACCAAACCAAACAAUGCAUAAGAAAUAAUCUAUGCAUAACUAAUACAAGUUUUACUAAUACACUCUAUUGUGCAUUAUUUUCAAGGGCGGCUCAACAUAAUUCGAGGCCUAAAGCAAAAUUUUAAUUAGAGGCCUAAAAUUUAAAUAAAUUUUAUCUGUAUUUAUUUAUUUUUCUAAAUUUUUAGAUGUAAAUUAUUACUUAAUAUCUUUUUUAUAAAUGAUUUUUUCAAAUGCUUUCUUAAAUUAUUAUUUUUAAACAUGAUUUUAUCAUUUCAACAUUGAAAAACAUCAUUAUUGAGACAAUUAUUAUAUGAAUCGAUAAUAUAGUUCUAUAAGUAAUAAGUUGAUAAAUUUUAAAUGAAGAUAAGAGUUAGAAUCAUAGAAUCUAAUUCAAAAAGUUGAUAACUUGGUAUACCCUACUUUAAUAUGAAAAGUUAUGAAGAAAUAAGAGAAUAUUUGUAAUUUACUUUGUUCAACACUUUUCAGCUAUUGAUUCAUAUUUUUGACAGAAUAUUACUCUAACUAUCAAAGAUUUGAAGAAAUAGAGUGCAGAAGGAGUUAAAAAGGAUAAAUAAUGUGAGUGUUAGCGAAAAAAAUAUAAUAUAUAUAUAUAUAUAAAUGUACUUUUUAUUAUAAUAAAAAAAAAUUCAUGAAAAAAUUAAACAUGAUUUUUUAUUUAUAAAAAUUUGAGGCAUUGGCCUAAAAAUUUAUAGGCAAGAGCCGGCACUGAUUAUUUUUAUACAUUCUACCAAAUGACUUCUAACAUUAUUUUCAUAUUGAAUUUGUAAAAAGGACAGACUAAUUAUUUUGACUCCUUUUAAAGAAGACUAAUAUUAGCAUAAUGCAUAAAUAAUAAUGGUCUCCCUUCAGCCUAUGAACACUCAUGAUUAGGAGUGUUCAUGGUUCGAUUUGGAUUGGUUAUUGGUUAAAAUUAAAAUCAACUAAUUUAAUCGAUUUUUAAAAUUUUAAAACCAAACCGAACAAACAAACAAAAAAAUAACUGUAUAUUUGGUUGUUGUCGGUUUGGUUCGGGUUAUUUAUUUAUUUUUUCAAUUUGAAAGUAAUAAAUUAAAUUUUUCGAGAGUAUAAUACACAUCUCGAUAGACAUAGUGAACAAUCCACAAGAAAAUUAAUGUGGAUUCAAUUAAGCAAUACUAGAGUUAUUAUUACACGAAUAAAGUGAUUCAAUUAAGAGAAAGUGUGACUAUCUAAUGUGACGUAAGGCAGAUAAAGAUUAAAGUAAUAGUUUUUGAUGGGCUUGGUCUUAGGGUUUUAAUAGUAGAGCUUGAGAAAAUGGUAAAGCAAAAACUAAAGGUAAUUAAAAAUUUAACAAAAUAUUUAUAUUUUAUUUAUGAAUAAUAUAUAAAUAAAUAUAAAGAUUAUAUAUAUAAUUUUUCGGUUUGAUUCUGUUGUUUUUGCAUUUUUUAAAGUAAAAUCAAAAUCAAACCAAAUAAUAUUGGUUAUCAAAAUUUAAAAUCAAACCUAACAAAACCACACCAAAUAUUAAUUUUUGUAAUCAAUUUAAUUCAGAUUGCAAUUCAGUUUGAUUUUUUAACCAUGAAUAACCUACUCAUGAUCUCAUACCACAUUGCAUAAAUUAUGUCCGUCCUAUAAAAUAUGCAUAAACUUACACACACCUUUACAAAUAUGCAUAAUACUCGAUUCCAUAUUUUAGUACUAUAUUGAGAUAGUUUAAUUAAUCUUAACUUUUACAUACACCUUUACAAAUAUACAUUCUCCUUAAAAACAAUUGUUCAAAAUGAACUUCAAACAUGCCAAAAUAUGUUUGAAACUAACAAAUGAACAUGUCAAAAUUUAGAUAAGAUACUUGUUAAUUUAAUUAAGAGUUUAUUAUAAGUCAAUAAGGUGAAUAUAUUAUAUACAUUUGAAGAAAGUAAACAAGUGCACAGACUUCUUAACAAAUAAAGGUCACAAACAAUUUUUUUUAAAAUGCUUGUAUGAAAAAUGCAAUCAAGAAAAUGAAAUUUUGGCUUCCAGACAAAUUUAAGCAUCGUAGCUUAUGAAAGAUUUUAGGACUGUUUAAUAUUUUAUUCUUAAAAAAAAGUGGCAAUUUAUGAUUGGAUCAUAAAUAAGUUCAAGCAAAUGAUUUGUAACUAUUAUCAUAUGUAAAAAAAAUUAUUUCUUCCAACCAAAAAUUAAUAUACUAGAAUUGGAAUGGCGUUCCUCACUUGACUAUUUUGUGAUAAUAAUUGUAUAUACACCGUCUUUUAAAAGAAAAAAAACUUGUCUAUUUUAUAAUAAUAAUAAUGACUAUUUUAUUUUUAUGUAUUAAAUUAAGAGUAUUAUUACUAUAUAGAAGCAUGAUGACGACCAGACGACCAGGGCUAUUUUGGUAAUUUCACCACUAUUCUAGAACUAUCAGGCCAUGGAUGGCUAAUGUUAAAAUGGUAAUUUCAGAAAUAUUGAAGAACCAAUUAGACAUGAGAAGGAUAGGAAGACCAAGGGCAAACUUGUAAAUAUAAUUAUUAUUCAAGGAUAAAAUAAUAAUAAUAUCAAAGGACUGAUUUUUACUUGUAAUUCCUUUCGGUUCUAGAUCGUUUCAUUAUCUCUUUCCUUCUGUCUCUUCCAGUUUAAAAGAGAGAAUGAGACUGUAUGAUUCUUCCACAUCAGGCAAAGAAGAGCACAAAAAUUGUAUUACAAUUGAUGAUUCUUUCACAUCGGUUAGUUCUUAAUCAUUUUUAUUUCGAAUUUUCUCUACUUAUUUCUUUAGGCUUUUAAAUUCUAAAUCGUGUCUCGCUUAAAAUUUUAGGGAAUUCUCUCAGUCCUAACAUGAAGCAAAGAACUUCAAUUAUGGAAAUCUUUGCUUUUUGGUAACAACUUCAUCAACCUACCACACCAGGAGAUUAAGAGCAUAAUGACUUAAUUGGUAUGAUCAUUCUUCUAAUUUUUAUUUUUGAGUUGUAGCAAGAUUUAAAAUUUAAUGGAGCAUGCGUAUGUGGUUUUUCUGUUGAAAGAUUUCUGAUGUCCACCAGGUGUUUGGAAAAAUGUCUUAGCUAGAAAAAAAUCUACUUUGUUCAGCCUACUCCUUUUAACUUUUGUAUAGACCUGUGAAUGUUUUUGCCAUUCUCCUCAACAGGAGGUGUGCUUAUGUGAUACAAAGAAACAAAUAAGUAAGACUUACAAUUGUGUGGUCUUAUUCUCCUCGGAAUCAACAGAUGCUUACAUCAGAAAAGGAACACUUAUAUCUUCUUAUUUUCUGCGGGUUUGAAUUACCUUACACUUUUCGUUUGUGUUUUUGAUUAAUAUAAUUUGUUGUUGUUUCAUGGUUGAUUACUCCAUCUGUUUCGUAGUAGGACCUUCACCUUACAAGUGCUCGAUAAAGACCUUCAACAACUUAAUUUUUUUGUUCUAUAAAUAUUUAAAAUUAUGGACUCAACUUUUCAAUACAAUAUUGAGAAACCCAAUCAACGUCAAUUCCACUUUUCUUACAAAACAACGAAAAAUCAUAGUUGUAGACUUGAGAUUUUGGCCAAUUGCUUACCCUUUGGUUAUUUAUCCAGAAAAUUAUACAUAUGUAGUGUAGUAAAUAUAUUUUCCUAUAGAACUUUUCCCUGCAUUAAAAUUAUGUCCUUUUUGCUUCUAAAAAUGACCCAGACAAAUUAUCUUUCCUACUAACCAUGGUAGACAAUCAUAACUCUGAUAUUUUAAGUUUCCAUGUGCCAUUUGUUGUGACCAAAAUGCGCAACUGGACAAGUUCUGCUUGCAAAUAUUUAGUUGUAACUUAGUUUAUUAAUUUCCUCCAAUAUCAGCUCUUCUUACAAUAUUAUUAUCAUGGAUGAACGUAGUAUUUCCAAAAUGGAAUAGAGGUAUACUAUCGACGCAAUUACGCCACUAACUACGAAGUGGACGUGCAAAAUAAUGUUUUUCCUUCUACGUUUUGUUGCUAUGCUAAAAAAAGAGAACUCUUAUUUUUAUAGGUGUGUGCACUUUCUGUUAUAUCUGUUACUAUAUGAAAAUGUAAAGUUGUGUUACUUCCAAAAUCAUAUUAAAUAAGGAAAGGAAAGUAAGAUAAGCCUUCGAAAAAGAACUUUUCAACUAAUCUUAACAAAAAUAAAAUAAAAUCGGAUACUCAUAGUCAAUGGAACUUUUAGAAUGUAUUGGCUGUUAAAAGUUCGAUACUCUUUCAUCUGUGAUAGUUCCAUGCCUUAGCCUCUUCAAAAAAAAAACAUUUCUCAUGCUUAUUAUCGGUUGAAUAUUUUUCAUAUUGAGAUUAUAUAUAUGUAGUACAUGGAGCAGCUACAAAAACUUAUAUUUUAUGACGAAAGUGUUUGCUUUGUAGCGUAUCCUCCUCCAAGAAUAUGAACUUGUAUAGCAUCAUCUCAUUAAUCACAUAUCCAAUUUGAUCUCCUUAGUGUGCCUCUUGCAACUGAAAAUAGUAAACUACCGCCAUAUUCAUAGGGAAUCAGUGUAGUCAAAUAUGUAGCAAAAGUAAACUCUUUCCAUGUAGUUUUUGACUUUUUUUUUUGUUCUUUUCUGGUGGAGAUCUUUGUCUGAUACUUAUUUUUACCUAAUUUAACAGGCUUAUAAAAUAAUAUCAUGUGGUUUUAUCUGCUUUCGCUUACGCCGUUGUCGAUUACGUUUCUCAUGUUUUCUGUUGGAUAUCUAUUAAGAUUGCGAGACUAUAUAUACAAGGACUAUCCUUAGUUGAUUAAUAUUCUUCACUUAAGUGGUCAGGCCCGUGCUAGAGAUUGAUUACUAGCCUAAGUUUAGAGUGCUUCCUCUGAAGAAGAGGACCAGAUUUUUACUGAGACAAUCUGAUUAAACGUUAGACUUCAAAUAAGAAAGCUUUAAAACUCUUAUAUGAAUCAUUUUGUAUGUAACAUUAGAAAAAAUGUUUCUACUUUAAGCUUUGACAUGAAAAUUCUUUGUUUGUUGAUUCUUGGUAGAGCGGUAAUGUAAACCCUUGAAAGUUAAACUUGUGAAAGAAACUGAUGGCUAAAGAUGGUAACAGAACUUCCAGUCACAAAGAUAAGCUCUCCUUUAUAGAAUGUAAAAGCUCCUAAAAUUUAUUUAAAUUUGGAAAGAUAUCUCCUACCAAAACUUAGCAUGCUAUUACUCAUUAAACUUUUUCGGAUUUAUAAAAAUAUCUUUUUAAACUUUGUUGUAACAUGCCUACUUGACUGUAGCUUCUCCCUUAAAUUAGCAAGUAGUUUUUUCUUUGUUUUGAAUUGUACUUGGUGUGAAUUAACCAGUAGCUACUGCUACUGAAGAUGAGAUGUUCCUACUUCUGUUCUUCAGAGUGAUGUUUGUUUGUCUUUCUACAUAGAUGUUGAGACGGAAUUAUGUUUCAAGGACCUUUUUUGUGGAAUCUGUAAUGUCCAAUUAAUUGAUCUAUUGCAUUCUGUUACAGAUAUAAGUCUAAAGAAGCAAUUGAGAUUUUAUAAGUGCAGGGCCCUCAAUUUUUUUAUUUUAAUAGUGGCUUGCCGACUAUUUGGCCUAUUAACCUUUUAACUAUUAAGUUGUGUCUAAUUUCAUUUUAGAGAUAGACCUAUUCUUCUUUACUUCAUCAAAAGAAGAGAUAUUAGUUACUUCGUGAAAGAUUUGAUCAUUCAUGAAUUGGCUUACUUAUAUUUUUCUUCAUUUUUUUAGGCAGUGGAACAGUUCUUUCAGCAUUACUCAGUCAAGAGGAGUCAUUUUGAAAUGGUGAAUAAGAUCAUGCAUGUAGUUUUGAGGCUGCAUGAGGAUACAACACAAGGGUGGCAAUAUUUUUGAAAGGUUUGAGGGCGGCAAGAUAAAUUUUAGAAUAACCAGUACCUUUGACAUCAAAAUUGAUGCUAAAUCACUUUUUGGUCCUUGAUUAACUCUUAUUCAUGUUAUGUUGAAUUUUCUACGAGGCGUUCAUGAUAAACUUCUAUUUUGGACAAGGGUCAAACCACACAGGUGUUCCAAUAAAGUCGCUUACCAUUAAUUGUUCUAUAACUAUGAACAUACAUAGAAAUGAAAAGAGAUGGAAGAAUUAUGAUUUAAAGGUACAGUUCUUUUGGUGCACUAUUUUUACUUGCAUG
rnacentral:lncRNA from 1 species